GGCAAGUACACCGGUUUUCUGUUUUUCUUCGGAAAAAACAAGAUUUCGUUAAAUUUGACUUAAUUUAUCAAUUGUAUACGAGUUUACGAUCUCUUCCAUAUCAAUGUUUAUUAAGGGUAUAGAACCCUGAGAAAGCUUUGGAACUAGGAGUGAUUGUUUGUUAAAAAUUAGGGCUGGACUAGGACACAGGAACAAAUUGGAUCAAAGGGUAGGAUUGUUUGAAUUUGAUGAAUGAACAGUUUGAACAACACACAUUGAAAUUUACUUGACUUUCACUAGUACAAUUGUACCCAUUUGCAGCAUUUCAUUACUGGGACAUUAUAUAGAUAACUUCGGGUUUCAUUUCUUCCUGCUUUCUCCAAAGGAAAUUUUCCUUUAGCAGUUCAACCUACACAAACAGCGUAAUUCCUUUGUAAUUGAAAAUCUUAAAGGGCCUUGUUGUCGAGAGGCUCCACAAUACCAAGAGGCAUAAAGAUGGUUUUUGUUACAAUAUAAUAAUAUUAAUAUGAUGAAGAGCUUCUCUAAAUGUGCCAUGCCUUCCACACCAUAGAGAGUCUUCGAAUACUUUGGGUAAGAUUUUAAGAUCGUGUAUUCCAUUUGUUUGACAUUAAUUACUACUAUAAUUUUUUACUCUUCUGAAUUGUAAUAGUGAAUUAUUGAGUUUGAUAGUCUUAUUAUAUGAUUGUUAAAAGUUACAGUUCUUAAUUUAUUUAUUCAUUUAUUCAGUUACACAAGGUACUACAAGUUGCAAAUUUGAACAGUGAGUGUAUAUCACAGAGGUAGGAUACAAUACAAUAAAAUGAUAAUAUUACAGAUUCAAUUAAGAAAAUUUUUUCUUAUUAGACUUUUUAUAAAUUUAAUACUUUUAUUUUCAAGAUUUAUGUCUUAGUGUCCUUUGGUAAUUUGUUGUGUAGUGCAAUUGUUCUGUAAAAAGAGGUUUUUUCCAACUUCCAGGUUGACCACUAUUAAAGCUCUGUGUCUAGUUUUACUUGAAGAUUUAUAGUACAUAUCAGUGAGGGUAACAUGGUGGUGUUUAACUAAAACGUCUAUAUUAUUUACAUUUUCAAUUCUUAUCUGUUUGGGAAUUGUUUGAUAUUCAGCAGGUUUUGUAAUUUUCAAAAAAUUCUCUUUUGCAACGAUUUAAUAGAACUUGGUAUUUCCUUCACAAGUUAAACCUCAAGCUGAAACACCAUAGGUCAAUCUGGAAUAUAAUAAUCCCUAAUAAAAAUGCAAAGAAGCAAUCUAGUGCAUAAAAUAUUUUUAAGUUCUUAAUAUUUUAAAACAAUGUUUAAGGUGAA